UUGGGGAAAUGGCCACAGCUGGGCCAUGCCCCAAUCAGGCUGCAGCUGGGCCUAUAAAGGGGUUGCUAGGCUGAAGCUUAGCCAGAGUUCCUCUCUGUGUUCAGAGGGGGAAGGGCCUGGCUGCAGGGACCUGAGGGAGUACCGAGAGUGGAGCAGGGCUGAGGGGGAAAGGCCAGGGGAACUCCGGCCUGGAAACCCCUAGGCUACAAGGCCUAGAUUAAGGCCAAUUAGAUAUGUUGAAAUAUCAUGACAGAAUCCAUUCUUGUGUUAUUUCCAGCAGAGACCAGAGGUCAGAGCAGGUCCAGAUGGGAACGGUAUCUGCAGUUUUCCUCUUUGGGAG